rnacentral:lncRNA from 1 species
AGUGUUUUAUCAAACAAAAGACAGGCUGACAUCUUUAAAGUAUGGUCUUUAUUAAGUAGGGAGCAAAUCAUUCCACACCUUCCCUCCCAAUACCUCCCUCACCAGUGACUUCAAGCCUUCAAACAAGAGGGGACACCUCUCCCCACUUCCCAGUGACCUUUCUCCGCCCCUCAUUGCAUCCAUGAGUGACACCACUGAGAUCAGAUGCAGUGAUGUUAAUUGAAAUGGACAUUAAGGGCUCACUUGCUCAAGCAGAAGCACAUUAGAAGAAAUAUAAACGAGGAAGACAUUGGGUCAGUAACAUUUGUUCUAAUGAGAAUAACCAUCUCUAGAGCAUCUUGUUCAAAAAGGAUUGAGUGCCCAGGAAACAACAGAUACAUGAGGCCUUCCACCCCCACCCCACCCCCAAUACUCAGAAGUGUCACACAUACUUGCAGAGACUUUUCAAUCAUCCUUGCUUCAAUCAUGAUUCCCCAGGUGCAUUUCUGUGGGUGUCACCCAGCACAUUCCCCCUCGUGUUCUUCAUCUGUUUCUCCAAAUCUACUUCUCCAUAUUAUUUUAAGAGUUUGUGACCAGAUGUUGGUAACAUGUGGUCCCAGAUGUUCUUAUUUGCUAUACCUCAGGAAUUCUUGACUAAGUGACCCAAGAGCUUCUCAACUUUGGAUCCAAUAAGGGGAACCUAAGGCUAAAAGAAUCCCAUCUGGAGUAGAGAGGAAGAUACCCAAUUACCCAAUUUUUUUGUUUGUUUUUGUUUGUUUUCUGAGACAGAGUCUCUCUCUGUCACCCAAGCUGGAGUGCUGUGGUGCGGUCAUAGCUCACUGCAGCAUUGAACUCCUGAGCUAAGCAGUCCUUCUGCCUCAGCCUUCCGAGUGGCUGGGACUAUAGGCAUGUACCACCAUGCCCAGCUAAUUUUUAAAAAAAGUUUUUGUAAAGACAGGGUCUCCUUAUGUUGCAAAGGCUGGUCUUGAACUCCUGGGCUCAAGAGGUCUUCCCACCUCAGCCUCCCAAAGUGCUGGGAUUACAGGCAUGAGCCACCACAUCUAGCCCAAGUUUCUGCAUAAAGAACAUGAAGGUUUUCCUUAGAUCAUGCUUUACAUGGCACAUCAUGUCUUUAUGGUUAUUAGUGGGCAGUUGCAAGGUAUAGAUACCAUUUUUGUCUAUGCUGUAUCAUCUCCCAAUAUUCUUAACAGCAUCUGACUUAAAAAAAUUUUUUUUUUGAGACAAGGUCUUCCUCUGUCACCCAGUAUGGAGUGCAGUGCUGCAAUCAUGGCUCACUGCAGCCUCAACUUCCCAGGCUCAGGUGAUCCUCCCACCUCAGCCUCCAGAGUAGCUGGGACCACAGGUCGUGCCACCAUGCCCAGCUAAUUUUUGUAUUUUUUUGUAGAGACAGGGUUUUGCCAUGUUCCUCAGGCUGGUCCCUAACUCCUAAGCUCGAGCAAUCUGCCCGUCCCAGACUCCCUGUAAGUGCUUGGAUUACAGGCAUGAGCCAUUGUGCCUGGCCAGCAUCUGAUUUUUCUGUGAGCCUCUACUCCUAUUCUUGGUCCAGGCCAUAAAGAGUAUGGAAACUAAAGUCUGACUGCCUAGGUUUGAAUAUUGGCUCUGCCAUUGACCAGCUAUGUGAACCUGGAAAAAUUCCUAACCUCUCUGUGCCUCAUAUAAGAAAUGUGGAGAAUAGUAUCUACCUCAUGGAGUUUUUGGGUUAUAUGAGUUAAUUCAGAUAAAAUGUUUAAAAGAGUGACUGGCACAUAGUAAACACCCCCCAAAUGUCAUCUAGUAUUAAUAUUAUUACUAUUAGUUCAGAAGGGGCUGACUUCAUUCCCCCUGGCCCUGGUGAUGGCACCUGACCCAGGCCUGGCCAAUCAGGACAUUCUGUCCCCCUGUCCACCAUGGAGUCCUUCUCCAUGGUCAGUCAUACCAGUCAUUUGGAUUGGCACUGUGGGCUGUGAUCUAAUGUGAACUCUGAAAGCCUGGUCAUGCUGGGCCAAAGCUGCAAAGUAAAGGUAAACAUCAAAUCUGGGCUGGUUCAUCAGGAGAGAACAUUCUGAGUAGGGAGACCUGGGGACUAUCCAGUUUCACCUUGCAGGUGAAGGCCCACUCUCCCUACUCUAGCCGUUAGUUAGACCCCAUGAAAAUAAUUGCAGUAGACUGUUAAUUUGAUGGCUUCCAGUGAACCAUGCUUCUGGCAUUCAUACUCUUAUGUAGUCCCCUCCCACAUUGAUUCUGGACUUUGCCAUAUUGAUGCAGGGCAGGUAAGCCCCAGAAUUGGGGCUUAGCCCGAGAAGGUUCUUCACUUCAUCCAGGAAAGAAUUCAAGGGCAAACAGGUGGUGGUAGAUGCCAACAUUUUUUUUUUUUUUUUGAGACGGAGUCUUACUCUGUCAUCAGGCUGGAGUGCAGUGGCACGAUCUCUGCUCACUGCAACCUCCGACUCCCUGGUUCAAAUGAUUCUGCCUCAGCCUCCCGAGUAGCUGGGAUUACAGGCAGACACCACCAUGCCCAGCUAAUUUUUGAAUUUUAGUAGAGAUGGGGUUUCCCCACGUUGGUCAGGAUGGUCUCGAUCUCCUGACUUCAUGAUUCACCCACCUCAGACUCCCAAAGUGCUGGGAUUACAGGUGUGAGCCACUGUGCCCAGCCUAGAUGGCAACUUUUAUUGGAGCAGCAGUGUCCAACAGCAGCAGAGGUACUGCUCCUUGUGGAACAGGACUACCCCCUAGGCAGCAUGCCCAGAGUAGCAGCUCAGGGGUAAUUCUGUCGUCAUAUUUAUACCCACUUUUAAUUACAUGCAAAUUAAGGGGCAGGUUAUUCAGAAUUUUCUGGACAAAGGAUGAUACUUCCAGGCCAUUGCCAUGGAAAGGGGUGGUAACUUUUAGGUGUUGCCAUCACUGUGGUAAACUGACGUGGUGUUGCUGGGUAUGUCUCAUGGAGAGGUGCUUUCACUGCUUCCCUGUUCACCUAGUCUUCAAUCUGGUCCAGAGUUUCAGCCCCAUCUCUGGAGUUGAGUCCUGCCUUCUCCCUCAAUGUGACAAAUGUUGGCCAAUGGUAUAUCGCAGUUGUGAUGCAAGCAGAGGCUUGGUAAAUGCCUGCAUACUGGGGUUUGUCCUCUUGGAAUGCUCAUUUGUGGGAGCCCUGAACAACUAUGUAAGAAGUCUGGCUACCCUGCUGGAGAGAACACAUGGUGGGAAGAGACUAAAAUUAUGUGAAGAGAGUCAGGCCAGCCAUCCCAGCUUCUCUGCUGAGCCCCGCCAUCAGCCAACCUGCCAGCUGAAUGCAACCGUAAGAGUGAUCACCAGCAAGAUCACUAGAAAAACCACCUAACUGAGCCCACCCUGGAUUGAACAAUCAUAAACAAAUAAAAUGGUUAUUGUUUUAAAUCAC